rnacentral:rRNA from 1 species
AACGAACGCUGGCGGCAGGCCUAACACAUGCAAGUCGAACGCUGCAGCAAUGCAGAGUGGCAGACGGGUGAGUAACGCGUGGGAACCUUCCCAGUGGUACGGAAUAGCACAGGGAAACUUGGGGUAAUACCGUAUAAGCCCCCAGGGGGAAGGAUUUAUCGCCAUUGGAUGGGCCCGCGUCGGAUUAGCUAGUUGGUGAGGUAACGGCUCACCAAGGCGACGAUCCGUAGCUGGUCUGAGAGGAUGAUCAGCCACACUGGGACUGAGACACGGCCCCUGCUCCUACGGGAGGCAGCAGUGGGGAAUAUUGGACAAUGGGCGCAAGCCUGAUCCAGCCAUGCCGCGUGAGUGACGAAGGCCUUAGGGUUGUAAAGCUCUUUUGGCGGGGACGAUAAUGACGGUACCCGCAGAAUAAGCUCCGGCUAACUUCGUGCCAGCCGCCGCGGUAA